UACGUAGGGUGCGAGCGUUAAUCGGAAUUACUGGGCGUAAAGCGUGCGUAGGUGGUUCGUUGUGUCUGUGGUGAAAGCCCCGGGCUUAACCUGGGAAUGGCCAUGGAAACUGGCGAGCUGGAGUCUGGCAGAGGGGGUGGAAUUCCGCGUGUAGCAGUGAAAUGCGUAGAGAUGCGGAGGAACACCGAUGGCGAAGGCAGCCCCCUGGGCUAAGACUGACGCUGAGGCACGAAAGCGUGGGGAGCAAACAGG
rnacentral:rRNA from 1 species